rnacentral:rRNA from 1 species
AUUGAACGCUGGCGGCAUGCUCUACACAUGCAAGUCGAACGGUAACAGGCCGCAAGGUGCUGACGAGUGGCGAACGGGUGAGUAAUGCAUCGGAACGUGCCCAGUCGUGGGGGAUAACUACUCGAAAGAGUAGCUAAUACCGCAUACGAUCUAUGGAUGAAAGCGGGGGACCGUAAGGCCUCGCGCGAUUGGAGCGGCCGAUGUCAGAUUAGGUAGUUGGUGGGGUAAAGGCUCACCAAGCCAACGAUCUUUAGCUGGUCUGAGAGGACGACCAGCCACACUGGGACUGAGACACAGCCCAGACUCCUACGGGAGGCAGCAGUGGGGAAUUUUGGACAAUGGGCGCAAGCCUGAUCCAGCAAUGCCGCGUGCAGGAAGAAGGCCUUCGGGUUGUAAACUGCUUUUGUACGGAACGAAACGGCUCUGGUUAAUACCCGGGGCUAAUGACGGUACCGUAAGAAUAAGCACCGGCUAACUACGUG